GACGAACGCUGGCGACGCGCUUAACACAUGCAAGUCGAACGGAAAGGCCUGCUUUCCCUUGUGGAUUGCGGGUACUCGAGUGGCGAACGGGUGAGUAACACGUGAGUGAUCUGCCCCCAACUUGGGUAUAAGCCUGGGAAACUGGGUCUAAUUCCCGAUAGGACUGCAGGGUGGUGCCUGUGGUGGAAAACGAUUUUCUAGUGGUUGGGGAUGAGCUCGCGGCCUAUCAGCUUGUUGGUGGGGUAAUGGCCUACCAAGGCGGCGACGGGUAGCCGGCCUGAGAGGGUGGACGGCCACAUUGGGACUGAGAUACGGCCCAGACUCCUACGGGAGGCAGCAGUGGGGAAUAUUGCACAAUGGGCGGAAGCCUGAUGCAGCGACGCCGCGUGGGGGAUGACGGCCUUCGGGUUGUAAACUCCUUUCGACCGCGAGGAAGCCACCUGGUUGGAAGGGUGGUGACGGUAGUGGUAGAAGAAGCACCGGCUAACUACGUG
rnacentral:rRNA from 1 species